UGGGUUUCGUAAUUUGUGUAUGGAACUAUGGAUCACUUCUUUACAGGUCCUGCCUUCUCCUGAAGAGUCCGCCGUCACCACAAAAACUUCUCGACACCUAAGUUUUCAUCUGUUCAUCUAGCCUGCAAAAAAAAUCUUUCAACGUUACGGAGUUCGUCUGAAUCAAAGCGUCGUCUUCAACGGAUUCAUUUACAAUUGUUCUCCGCACCUCACACAAUCUAUCAUUGAAUGCAUCCCAUUUUACUUCCUUUCUCAGAAUAUAAGUCUCUUUAGGUGAUCAGAAGCCCACGAGUUCAGCAGGACAGGACGUAGCAAAGCGUAUGCAAAGGAUCCAAUCUAAACAGAAAGUCCAAACAGGUGCCUUCUUCAUUUUCAUAAGAGUAGACUUUUUGUGAUUCCAAGGGAGUACUUCCCCUAGACUUUCAAGAAGAACAUCCUACGGAACAAAUAUACUGCUGAUGGCUGGAGGUUUUUUUGUAACUUAGCCUCUUGAUCUUGAAAGGCACACUGACGUUGAAUUCGAAUGAAAAACAGAAGAAGACACCUUAUGUUGCUAAGGCUAAAAAGUGUACGGUUGACUACAAGAAGAACAUCAAAGAAAAGGGCAGAGGAUUCAAAGGGGCAGAGGAUUCAAAGGCAGGAGAUGAUCUUGAUCCAGCAAAAUCAAUCAAACAGAUCUCUGUAAUCAUGGAAACUCUGCAUACAAUCUUUCCACCCAGCCAGUGCAAGCAAGAUCUCAGUCUCAGCCAGCACAAGUAAGGAAGUAUAGAGCAGCAUUCUUCCCGUUCCACUUUACAAACUGAUUCAAAAAGUGGAAAAGGGAUCCACCAAAACCCAAUUGACCAAAGGUAUUAAGAAAGACUUGGAGGAUGUCAACAAGAUCUUUAAAUGUGUCAAGUUUUUGUGGUUCUCAAUAAAUGCAGAAAACCAGGAGGGUUUACAUUCUGAGGAUGGUGAAGUGGAUAACGAAAAAUGUAUCAAAUCCUUACCAGCUAUCCAUGUUCAUGAAAAAGAUCUCAAAAGAACUCAAGGUUUACAGACUAGAGACAAGUUCAUGGAGCUUAGUACUGACAGCAAGAUCUGUCUCCUAAGCUUUGCUGUGUUCCCGGAUAAUCAAGAAGUCAACAAGAUGAUGCUCAUUAUUGGUGUAUUGUAGAAGGCAUUCUCCCUGGUGAAGUCAAACCCCAAGAUGCUGUGAAAGACAUUCUCAAGUUCUUCAUGGAAAAUAUUUGAUUGAGCCUUUGAGCCAAAUAGCUUUAAGAUGACACCUUUUGUACAUUCUUCGAUGGUUAUUAUCACAUGGGAGAUAAAUAUUAAGUAUGUAUCAGAAAGAAAAGAAGCCAAAGAUGAAUCGUCCGACUUGAAAAAUAUAGAAUACGUAGUACCUACACAAUACAUUUACAUGUGUGUUAUUUGGUACCUAAACAUUUCAUACUGAAAUCUUUUACAGAUU